rnacentral:rRNA from 1 species
UGGUCAAGUUAUUAAGGGUGCAGGGCGGAUGCCUUGGCACUAGGAGCCGAUGAAGGACGUGAUAAGCUGCGAUAAGCUUCGGGGAGUUGCACGUAAACUUUGAUCCGAAGAUUUCCGAAUGAGGAAACUCACUUAGAGUAAUGUCUAAGUAUCAUUAAGUGAAUACAUAGCUUAAUGAGGGGAACUCAGGGAACUGAAACAUCUAAGUACCUGAAGGAAGAGAAAGAAAUUCGAUUCCGUAAGUAGCGGCGAGCGAACGCGGAUUAGCCCAAACCAAUAAAGUUUUCUUUAUUGGGGUUGAGGACAUACCACAUAUAAGAGGUCAUUAUAGACGAAGAAGUUUGGAAAAACUCAU